CAGCUUGCUGCUUCGCUGACGAGUGGCGGACGGGUGAGUAAUGUCUGGGAAACUGCCUGAUGGAGGGGGAUAACUACUGGAAACGGUAGCUAAUACCGCAUAACGUCGCAAGACCAAAGAGGGGGACCUUCGGGCCUCUUGCCAUCGGAUGUGCCCAGAUGGGAUUAGCUAGUAGGUGGGGUAACGGCUCACCUAGGCGACGAUCCCUAGCUGGUCUGAGAGGAUGACCAGCCACACUGGAACUGAGACACGGUCCAGACUCCUACGGGAGGCAGCAGUGGGGAAUAUUGCACAAUGGGCGCAAGCCUGAUGCAGCCAUGCCGCGUGUAUGAAGAAGGCCUUCGGGUUGUAAAGUACUUUCAGCGGGGAGGAAGGCGAUAAGGUUAAUAACCUUGUCGAUUGACGUUACCCGCAGAAGA
rnacentral:rRNA from 1 species